AAACUUGUUUGUAAUGGAACCCCUUAAGAGUAUUUAAGGGAGAACUAGACGUAGCUUAGUUUGGAUUGAACCAGUGUAAAAAUUUGUCUUCUCCUUGCUUUCAUCUUAAAAAGUUUUCUAAAAUCUUACAAAAAUCUUUAAGUAUUCAAUACUACAUGAAAAUUGUCUAAUUCUUGCAAUAGCAUCUAACACUUAUUUGUGAAAAAGAUUUAAACUUUAUUCAAC
rnacentral:lncRNA from 1 species